rnacentral:rRNA from 12 species
CACGAAAGGCGUAAUGAUUUGGAUACUGUCUCGGAGAGGGGCUCGGUGAAAUAGACUUGUCUGUGAAGAUGCGGACUACCUGCACCAGGACAGAAAGACCCUAUGAAGCUUUACUGUAACUUGAAAUUGAAAUUGGACUUUAUUCGCGCAGUAUAGGUGGGAGGUGUUGAUUAUAAUCUUGCGGGAUUAUUGGAGCCAUCAGUGAGAUACCACUCUUGUAAUGUUAGAUUUCUAACUUUGAAUCAUUAUCUGGUCAAAGAACAGUUUCAGGCGGGCAGUUUGACUGGGGCGGUCGCCUCCCAAAUGGUAACGGAGGGGGACAAAGGUUUUCUC